UACAGAGGGGCAAGCGUUGUCCGGAAUUUACUGGCGUACGAGCGCGCGCAGGCGGUUGCGUAUGUGAGCGGUGAACAUCCCGGCGGGCUCAACCCGCGGCGGCCCGCUUACACAGCGCGACUGGAGGCAGGGAGGAGGGAUGCGGAAUACCGGUGGAGCGGUGAAAUGCGCAGAUAUCAGGAGGAACACCUAUGCGAAGGCAGCGU
rnacentral:rRNA from 1 species